rnacentral:rRNA from 1 species
CAAGUCGUGGGGCAGCAGGUCUGUAGCAAUACAGAUGCUGGCGACCGGCAAACGGGUGCGGAACACGUACACAACCUUCCUUUAAGUGGGGGAUAGCCCGGCGAAAGCCGGAUUAAUACCCCGUAAUAUAUUGAAAAGGCAUCUUUUUAAUAUUAAAGCUCCGGCGCUUAAUGAUGGGUGUGCGCCUGAUUAGGUAGUUGGCGGGGUAACGGCCCACCAAGCCUGCGAUCAGUAACUGGUGUGAGAGCACGACCAGUCACACGGGCACUGAGACACGGGCCCGACUCCUACGGGAGGCAGCAGUAAGGAAUAUUGGUCAAUGGACGCAAGUCUGAACCAGCCAUGCCGCGUGGAGGAUGAAGGUCCUCUGGAUUGUAAACUUCUUUUAUCUGGGACGAAAAAGGGUCUUUCUAGAUCAACUGACGGUACCAGAUGAAUAAGCACCGGCUAACUCCGUGCCAGCAGCCGCGGUAAUACGGAGGGUGCAAGCGUUAUCCGGAUUCACUGGGUUUAAAGGGUGCGUAGGUGGGUCUGUAAGUCAGUGGUGAAAUCUCCGAGCUUAACUUGGAAACUGCCAUUGAUACUAUAGAUCUUGAAUAUUGUGGAGGUCAGCGGAAUAUGUCAUGUAGCGGUGAAAUGCUUAGAUAUGACAUAGAACACCAAUUGCGAAGGCAGCUGGCUACACAUAUAUUGACACUGAGGCACGAAAGCGUGGGGAUCAAACAGGAUUAGAUACCCUGGUAGUCCACGCCCUAAACUAUGGAUACUCGACAUUUGCGAUACACUGUAAGUGUCUGAGCGAAAGCAUUAAGUAUCCCACCUGGGAAGUACGAUCGCAAGAUUGAAACUCAAAGGAAUUGGCGGGGGUCCGCACAAGCGGUGGAGCAUGUGGUUUAAUU